rnacentral:lncRNA from 1 species
CUCAAAUAUCUUGAUAAAUUUUUUGGUCCCAUUUGGUUUUGUAUGAUCAGUGAGUGUAAGAAAUGAAAGAUUUAUCGAUAAUCUCUCCUUUUUCCCUCUAGUUUCAGCCAUUUCUACAGACCCACAGAGAUUCAAGAGACAAUAAGAGUGAAAAUUUCUUGGUAGGUUUCUCUCAUUCAACGUUUUUGUGAAUUUUUAGGUACAAAUGGAUACGGAGAGAGAGGAAGAGAGGGAGAUACAUCAAUUUCUGUGCAUCU